AUGUAGUACCUGGGGCAUCCUGGCGCUGGCAGCGGGUACCACCCAGGCGGGUAUGGAGGGACUCCUGGAGGGCCUGCAUUUCCCAGAAAAACUCAGGAUCCACUAUAUGAUUACUUUGCUGCUGUAGCUGGACAUGAUGGGCAAAUAGAUGCUGAUGAAUUGCAGAGAUGUCUGACACAGUCUGGCAUUGCUGGAGGAUACAAACCUUUUAACCUUGAA
rnacentral:lncRNA from 1 species